UUAAAACUCGAAUUCAAUAAUUUGUCAAAUUCCGACCGACAGAAAACGGAAAAUAUUAUUACUCACACCCAUUUAUUUAUCUAUGUGUAGUGCAAACUGUGCAAGUAUCGGUCCAAUGGUUUUGGAAAAUAUUUCUUCUAAAUAGAAUAGUCAAAAUCACAUAUUUGUGUAUUUUCUAGCUUUGGAGCCUUGAUUUGAGCAGAUAUGAUUUUUCAUUUGAGUAUCCUGUUAUUAACGUUUUCAAGUGUCGGUGCACUAUGGCCGCUAUGUCCUCCACGAUUGUUGCAGGAUUGUCCUGGGAAUCUAGUUUGUGUCGACGGAAUGUGCAAGCCCUGGUGGAACUACUGCAGUUCGGAUUUAGACUGUGAAUUUUUUGAAGUUUGUGUACAUGGAACAUGCCAGAUAGGUUAGAUUCCCAAUGUGGGACGUGGAGACUGGUUCUUCGAUUCAUAUAUAAUCAUGUGAAAUGACGUGAGCUGUUGGGGUAGUAUUUCUGUUUCAAAAAUAUCAAAGACGAACAUAUAGACAGAUAAAAAGUAUACACCCAAAACGACGAUUUUGGGCGCGUAUAAAUUCUCAGAGAACAAAUUCUUGUCCUCUAAAACACCGAACCCCUUCUACUCCCAUUUAUACACAUCAAGUACCUAUAAUAAUUACUAGUUAUUUGUUUUAACGCGACACAAUAUCAUUAUUUUGAUCUUUAAACGAACAGUCUUUCAUAUACUUGGAUCUAUCGGGAUGCAAAGCUAGAUUUGCGUGAUCGGCUGGAUCUUUAUAAUCCAAUAUUAAAGAGAGAAGGACUCUCAAUCUGGAGAGAAAUGCAAAAAG